CGUCAAAAAAGAGUGGGAUGGGAUGGAAUGGGAUGGGAUGGGAUGGACGCCUCCAGGCCGAGGUGUUAUCCUGCAGGGAGGAGGUCCUAGGACAAACUACAGAGGUUGUAACUGUCAGCUGGCCUGUUAAUGUCUGAAAGUUGGAGGAAGCAGGUGGAGAAAGGGAGGUCACUGCUCAUCCUUCUGCCCCUGCAGACCUGCCCCAGAUAUUGUCAUAGAUUGAUUGAUGAAUGAUUAAAAGUCGAUUGCCUUUUGGGUGAAGGGUUAGCAUAUUUGUUGGUCUGAAUAAGUGUAAAUGAGAUUAUUGAAAGUUUUUAUGUGCUCCUUUUUUACCUUUACGUAUUCAACAUGAUGUUUGCUUAGCACCUCACUUUGAAUAGUAUAUGAAUAAAAAUUGACAGUAAUUGUUUGCUACUAGCUAAUGCAUGUUGCUUUUGUUUAUAGGUUUAUAUUUUUUUGUUUUAUAUGUAACUCACUAGGAGUUAGAAAUUGAGUGAGAAAUUGAUGUAGAACACUGGGCAGGCUCCCCAUGCUUCUCACAUCACACUAUCUGGCUGAGAAACAUGAAAACAUCCCCGAGGUUGCUCUUUAAAUAUAGAUACUGUUUAAUAUUUUUCGUCUUUUAGUAAAGAGACAAAUGUGGUGACAAGUUGAAUAAAGUAGUGUAUUGGUGAUUUUUCUUUGUGUCUUCAAUCUAUAAUAGAAGCCAAUGUUUUGGUUUCCACAGUUAAAGAGUACUGUAAGGUGGCGUAUGCUUACAAAGCCACAAACGAGGACGAGCUCACCCUGAAUGAAGGCGAUAUUGUACACGUGCUGAGCAAGGACACAGGAGAGCCGGGCUGGUGGCGAGGCGAAGUCGGAGGCAAAGAAGGCGUCUUCCCUGACAACUUCGUUGUCAUGAUUUCUGAAGCAGAGAAAGAGGCUCCCACAUCAAGAGGGUCCAUCAAAUCAUCACCAAAGCCAGAGGCAGAAGAGAAACCGAAGAAACCGCCUCCACCAUCUAAAAGCACGGCUCUUAAGCCGGAGAUCCCGAGUGCUGACAAGAAGCCUCAUCUGGUCAGGCCAGAGGACAGAGG